GGGAGCGUGAGAGGAAAUAAAACAGAUAACAAGCAAAGGGGGAAAGUAGCACAGUAAACAAACAGCAUAUUUUUUUCCCUCCACAGAGUGAGCUUUUGUGACUGGAGGCUGUAUCUUUGUGCAGCUUGACUUCUAAUCCAUAUCGCAAAUAGCUUCCAGAUGCCCGACUCCUUGCCACUAUUCUGGCAUCCCUGCCCUUCACAGAUGCCUCUCUAUGAGGGGGUCUCUAAGUAAAAUUGGGUGUAUUUUACUAAUCAUUCAUUUCCAAUCUUCCUGAAGGGAAACUUUUAUUAAUAAACUCUUUUCAUCUGUCUCUUUGACUAGGAAGAAGAUAAUCGCUUAGUCAUGUGAAAGGAGGGGGAAAAGAAGAUUGCUGGGGGGUCGUCUUUUAAAACAUGUGCUCGACUGGAGGGACACAAAUAAAAAACACUGAACAAUGGCAGUACGAAAUGGUUCCAGUUGAGCUUGAGCAACAGAGUGGGAGUUUGAAUAAGAAAUCCCGAGACAGGCUCGGCCUCACAAAGCAAGCAGAACUAAUUCUUCUAAAUCCAACUACUUCACAGGAAGCAGGCGAGGCCUACACACGCUGACAGGCAGGUGCACUCCACUGAGAGCCGCAAAAAAUGAAAAGCUUUCCUGGGAACGUCUGUUUGGAGCGACAUGAAAUCCAAAAGCUGUUCGUUUAAAUGGUAGUAGAAGCCUCAGAGAGUCUAAGCAGCUGAUCCCAAGUUUUAUUGCUACUGAUGUCAAAAGUAUUAACCAUGGGAUUAUCAGCAAUUUGCAGAAAAUGGGAGAUAACACUGGUGCCCCUUUGGAAAUUUCCCUUCAAAAAUCUGAUCACCCAUCCUGUGCCUGGAAAGAGGUGGAGGAAGAAAGGCUUUAUAGCAGCUGACGUUCCUGCAAUGACAACCACCACCUUCCCCAGUAUAAUUCAGCAGAAGAAAAUGAAGAAAAAACAACAGUGGCCAGCUGCCACGGAGAGGAACAGAAAAAAAUGAGACUUGGAUUAUUGCUUGUUCCUAUAAAAUGGCAAGAGAACUACUUUUCCAGUCACUGAAAGAAUCAGUUGAAUUUUACAGCCAAGUUUACAAACACGUUUAUGGCUCUGCACAUGCUCAGAAACUGUGGACGUGCUUAGAUUCAUAUGAAGCAGAUUGGGGUCUUACACUCAGCACAUCCUCAGAGUGAAUAGUAUGCAUAAUUUUGUAACAGGUCUCCAUGAAGGAAGAGAAAGACACAAGAGGGGUUGAUGAGGUAGUGAAUACCUGUUAAUGACUCUUUCCUUUGAUUUGCAAAAUAACUUUUAACUGGUCAGCUGCCUUUUGAAUGGCAGAUUAACGUUUUUCUGACCCUAGCCUACAGAAGAAAGAUUUGUCAAGACAAUGCAAAUUUCUCUGUCAGAAAUGCCCCCUCAGGAGCCAUCUAUGGAUAUGUGGAUUAUUCCUAUGUGACAAAACUGAGUUGCAAAUUUGUAAAUUGCACCAUUCUAGGUGUGUGCAUGAAUGGUUUGUCCUGAACUGGUUUGCCUUGAACUGGGACUGGUUCGAUCGUGGACUGAUUUGGGGGCAGUUCAGUCUGUGAUCAAACCAAACUGGGCCCGGUUUGGGUGAAGCGUUUGAGGGCAGGAAGAGGGAGGUCAGCAAGAGGGGAAAACUGCUUACUCUCAGUGGGUGCAACUGCUGGCACAGCUACUUGCCCUCUUGGAACGACCCCCCUCCUUUACCAAGCCGGAUGGCUUGGUAAAUGCGGGGGCUGCACUGGAAGGGUGAGCAGCAGUGCCGACACCUGUGCAGGCCGAGGGUAAUCAGUUUCCCCCUCUUUUUGACUUCCCUCUUCCUGCCCCCAAGCUUAAGAACCAAGCCCAUUUACUUGUAAAGGGGACUCCUCGCCAGAUGCCCCUUUACAAGUAUAUCCCCUGAACCGGUUCAGUCCGGUUUGAUGGUCAAAUCAGACUGGACUCCGUUUGGGUGGACAUGGAACUGAACGGGCCGAACCAGUUCCGUGCACAUUCCUACCCCAUUCCUCUCCCCUCCAAGUGCAGAAUAUUAAAAAAACAGCGGUUGGGGAAUAUUUUGUCCAUGUUAUGGCUUCUAUUCAAAGAAUCACAAGGACAUUCAUAGGAAGCAACUUCCCCACCCGCUCCUGCCCACAGAAAUCCCCUCUGCUCUUUCCAGUCUCCCCUGCAGAUCAGUGGGCCCCCUGGGAGGGGUGGAAUUAGGACACAGGAGGCUGCAGGGGAAGAAAUUUUCUCCAUAUUGGACAGAGGCACUUUUGCAAGUGGAGACCAAUUCAUGGAAGGUGCCUCCACCCAAUUUUCAGAAGUCCACCCACCCUCCAGGACUAUUCUUUACUGCCUGGCUGGAGAUAACUUGCAAUAUAAUUUGCUAUCUUCUUGAAGGUAAUUACCCAAAUAUAAAAACCCCAAACCCAUCUCUUUAUCUUAAACAAGAGUAAAUUUAUGGUGCAAAAUACAGGAUAACUAGAAGCAUGUUUUUAAAUGAAGUAUAAAUGGUCCUGCCAAAAUCUAACUCUGUGCAGCAACCACUCUGUGGUGACAAUAAGAAAUCUUGUGGACAGAUACUUUAUAUAUGUAUUUAAAUUUAUUUUUCUAUCUGACUAAUUUCUAGGGUCCUGUUACAGCAGUGUCAUAUGUUGGUGAUUUUUCCCACCCUUAACAAAAAUAGUUUACAUGUCCUGUAGCACAAUGCGGGCAGACCUGCCUCUGCUGCUAUGGGGCUCUAAAUUAUCCAGUGAUGCUGCUGCACAAGAGGGCAGUACUGGCACAACUGACUCUUGUGUGAUCACAUAUUUCAUGCUACUUCCAUUAUUCCCAAUAUGAAUUGUGGUUUAGACCCCUACAGCAAUGCAGACAGGUCUGCACUACCUGCAUUAAACUGUGGGCCAUCUAAGCCACUAUGUUUCGUCUUUCGCUUUGUCCCCACAUGCACACACGCAUAGGAAUCUUGAAGUGCUUUUGGUUUACCUUUAGAAUCUCAGAAAUAUACAUGCAAUAUUAUCUUGCUCAGAGACCAGACAGGAUUCCUAGAAAAAUUCUAAAGGCAUCCACAUACAUUGUCCUUUUAAAAUACAUCUGCAUCUAGACAAGUAGCCCAAACCUACAUA